UGGAUCCAGACUUUGAUUCUGGCUCAGGAUGAACGCUAGCUACAGGCUUAACACAUGCAAGUCGAGGGGAAACGAUAUUGGAAGCUUGCUUCCGAUAGGCGUCGACCGGCGCACGGGUGAGUAACGCGUAUCCAACCUGCCCACCACUUGGGGAUAACCUUGCGAAAGUAAGACUAAUACCCAAUGAUAUCUCUAGAAGACAUCUGAAAGGGAUUAAAGAUUUAUCGGUGAUGGAUGGGGAUGCGUCUGAUUAGCUUGUUGGCGGGGUAACGGCCCACCAAGGCUACGAUCAGUAGGGGUUCUGAGAGGAAGGUCCCCCACAUUGGAACUGAGACACGGUCCAAACUCCUACGGGAGGCAGCAGUGAGGAAUAUUGGUCAAUGGGCGAGAGCCUGAACCAGCCAAGUAGCGUGCAGGAUGACGGCCCUAUGGGUUGUAAACUGCUUUUAUAAGGGAAUAAAGUGAGCUACGUGUAGCUCUUUGCAUGUACCUUAUGAAUAAGGACCGGCUAAUUCCGUGCCAGCAGCCGCGGUAAUACGGAAGGUCCGGGCGUUAUCCGGAUUUAUUGGGUUUAAAGGGAGCGUAGGCCGGAGAUUAAGCGUGUUGUGAAAUGUAGAUGCUCAACAUCUGCACUGCAGCGCGAACUGGUUUCCUUGAGUACGCACAAAGUGGGCGGAAUUCGUGGUGUAGCGGUGAAAUGCUUAGAUAUCACGAAGAACUCCGAUUGCGAAGGCAGCUCACUGGAGCGCAACUGACGCUGAAGCUCGAAAGUGCGGGUAUCGAACAGGAUUAGAUACCCUGGUAGUCCGCACGGUAAACGAUGGAUGCCCGCUGUUGGUCUGAAAUAG
rnacentral:rRNA from 1 species